UAUUUAUUUAUUUUUCAAAAUUCUUGUUAUUACUUUAUUUCUUUUUUGAAAUCAUUUCAAUUGUGUGUAUAAAUUCAUAUUGGAUUGCUUAGUGGUAUUAUUUUAUAAGUUGAUUAUUAGUUCGACUUGUUCACUAGUUUAGAUUACAUCACCAACAAGGCAGUGUUGUCCAGAGGCGCGAAAUCCAGGCACCUUGCCUGGGA
rnacentral:misc_RNA from 1 species